rnacentral:rRNA from 1 species
CACGUAGGGUGCGAGCGUUGUCCGGAAUUAUUGGGCGUAAAGAGCUCGUAGGCGGUGUGUCGCGUCGGCCGUGAAAACCUGCAGCUUAACUGUGGGCUUGCGGUCGAUACGGGCAUCACUGGAGUUCGGCAGGGGAGACUGGAAUUCCUGGUGUAGCGGUGAAAUGCGCAGAUAUCAGGAGGAACACCAAUGGCGAAGGCAGCUCGCUGGGACGGUACUGACGACUGGAGA